AUGGCCAUAUCAUGUUAAAACACCAGUUCUCGUAUGAUCAACAAGGUUAAGCAACAUCAAGCCUGGUCAGUACCUAGAUAGGUGAUUGUUUGGGAAUACCAGGUGCUGUAA